rnacentral:rRNA from 1 species
UGCCAGUGAUAAACUGGAGGAAGGUGGGGAUGACGUCAAGUCAUCAUGGCCCUUACGACCAGGGCUACACACGUGCUACAAUGGCAUAUACAAAGAGAAGCGACCUCGCGAGAGCAAGCGGACCUCAUAAAGUAUGUCGUAGUCCGGAUUGGAGUCUGCAACUCGACUCCAUGAAGUCGGAAUCGCUAGUAAUCGUAGAUCAGAAUGCUACGGUGAAUACGUUCCCGGGCCUUGUACACACCGCCCGUCACACCAUGGGAGUGGGUUGCAAAAG